rnacentral:rRNA from 1 species
UAGGGAAUCUUCCACAAUGGACGAAAGUCUGAUGGAGCAACGCCGCGUGAGUGAAGAAGGGUUUCGGCUCGUAAAACUCUGUUGUUAAAGAAGAACAUAUCUGAGAGUAACUGUUCAGGUAUUGACGGUAUUUAACCAGAAAGCCACGGCUAACCACGUGCCAG